CCCUAGGAAUCUCAAAAAACCUUGGUGUCUCAUCAUUGGUACAGAGAAAUUGCUUAUCCACAUCAAAAUCAGAACCAGAUAUGGUUGCCUCAGGAAUUGGACACAAUUCAGCCCCGAAAUCAUCAAAGUUAUCCACUUCCACAUUCGCUUGAGCAGAGGUCCUAAACACAUUUGUGUCUUUAAUCCCGACAUUCUCAAAAGAUUCAACAUGCCCCUUAUCUGCAC
rnacentral:misc_RNA from 1 species